UACGAAGGGGGUGCACGUUGUCCGGAAUUAUUGGGCGUAAAGGGCUCGUAGGCGGUUCGGUAAGUCAGGUGUGAAAUCUCCACGCUCAACGUGGAGGCGCCACCUGAAACUGCCGUGACUCGAGUCCGGUAGGGGAGUGUGGAAUUCCUGGUGUAGCGGUGAAAUGCGUAGAUAUCGGAAGGAACAUCAGUGGCGAAAGCGACUUCCUGGACCAGUACCGACGUCAGGCACGAAAGCGUGGGGAGCAAACAGG
rnacentral:rRNA from 1 species